AUGUGGUGUGGGCUCCGGGACGGACCAAGGGCUGACCCCGCUGGAGAGCGAGCUCCAGCCUCUGACAAGUCUGCCCAGGUGAACACAAUGGCUCCGGUGCUCCUGCCCUCCAGGGACCACCAAGUAAGUGAGACUUUCCUGUUUCCUGAAAUAAUGCCUUGGGUCUUUUCCAUCUCCUGUAACCCGAUCAACUUAGUCUUUCAAAGAAUCAUAGAUUCAGUCCAACCCCUCAUAUUUUAUUGUAUUUCCUUUUUAAAAAAUCAUUUUAAAACAUGUGUUGGGGUUUUUGAACAUUCGGUCAAUUCCUAGCAUCCCCUUCCCCCUCCCUCGCUUUGUUCUAACGGGAGAUCCAGUUAAGCCCCAGCAGUCAGAGCCUCAGGCGAGCCUGUUGGUGUGUGGCGUCCACUCCACCCUCUGGAGUCUGAAUGCAGAAGUCUUUGCUCAGUGUUGUUUUCCUUUAUAUUUUUAGAGUGUAUUGUUAUCACGCGUGUUAAUUCUGCUUUCUUCACUCUUCACAAUAGAAUUCUGUCCUCAUUUUUUCUCCAUUCCUGUCAUUCACAGAUCAAAGAAUGACAUUCAUUAAACAUACUGUGUGCCAGGCCCUGUGCUAAGCACUGAAGACAAAUGCAAACCAGAUAGUCCCUGCCCUCCGGGAGCUUGUAUUCAAAUAGGGAAAGACAGCUUGUGAGGGGGGAGGGCAAAAGGGGAGAAGGAGGGAGGUAGGAUGUUUGCAGAUAGCUCAGGGAUGAUGGAGGCCUGGUUGUGGGCAAGAUAAAGUCCUGUGGUGCAGAGCCCCGGAUUCCAGUCGGAAGGAGACAGGGGAGAUAGCAAGAGGCCAGGUGGCAUGGUUUAGAAAUGGUGGGGAAGUGGAUGGGACCUGAGCAGCUGCAGCUGAAAAAGAACCCCAGCUGCAGGGCUCUGGAUGAGUAACGAUUAGGCCUUUGCUUGAAGACACAGAAUUCCUGUUUGGGGAGUCCUUUCUUCAUGUCCUUCCCCCACCUUGUCUUUUUGUGACUUCUGCCUCUCCAUAGGGCAAGUUCCCCCCUGUGGAGCCUGCUUUUAGGAGAGUAAGAGAGGGAAGCACUCUAGCAAACGGCCCAGUAGGGGAAGCCACUGUUGGUGCCCAGCUUGUCAUCUCUUUCCCAACUCCACCUCUGCCCUUUGUGCUGAUUUCCUGGAAGAGGCGUCUACACUGGGGCCUCCACUUCCUCUCCUCUCACUGUCCUCUCCACCCCUUACAGUCCGGCUUCUGGCCCUGUUAUCUGCCCCAGACUGCUCUCUUCAGAGCGACCAGUGAUCACUUAGUUGC
rnacentral:lncRNA from 1 species